UUGCUAUCUGCGAUAUGGAAGAUUCGAACCUGCCGCAGGUUCGGGUCUCAUGCAGUGAGACAACGGCGCCGUUUACGGCGACGGCCCGAAGAGCGAGCGAAGCGAGUCAUCCUGCACGCCCCCCCA
rnacentral:sRNA from 1 species